AGAGUUUGAUCAUGGCUCAGGAUGAACGCUAGCGGCAGGCCUAAUACAUGCAAGUCGAACGGUAAAUAUGCAGCAAUGUAUAUGAGAGUGACGUACGGGUGCGUAACACGUAUGCAACCUACCCUUUACAGGCGGAUAGCUCGGGGAAACUCGGAUUAACCCGUCAUAAUAUAAUUGAAUGGCAUCAUUUGGUUAUUAAAUCUACGGAGGUAAAGGAUGGGCAUGCGUCUGAUUAGUUAGUUGGCGGUGUAACGGACCACCAAGACGAUGAUCAGUAGGGGAACUGAGAGGUUGAUCCCCCACACUGGCACUGAGAUACGGGCCAGACUCCUACGGGAGGCAGCAGUAGGGAAUAUUGGUCAAUGGAUGGAAGUCUGAACCAGCCAUGCCGCGUGCAGGAAGAAGGCCUUCUGGGUUGUAAACUGCUUUUGCCAGGGGCUAAAAAGCCCAUGCGUGGGAAAUUGAAAGUACCUGGUGAAUAAGCCACGGCUAACUACGUGCCAGCAGCCGCGGUAAUACGUAGGUGGCAAGCGUUGUCCGGAUUUAUUGGGUUUAAAGGGUGCGUAGGCGGCUUUGUAAGUCAGUGGUGAAAUAUGGCAGCUCAACUGUCAAGGUGCCAUUGAUACUGCGGAGCUUGAGUACAGAUGAGGUAGGCGGAAUUGACGGUGUAGCGGUGAAAUGCUUAGAUAUCGUCAAGAACACCUAUAGCGAAGGCAGCUUACUAGGCUGUAACUGACGCUGAGGCACGAAAGUGUGGGGAUCAAACAGGAUUAGAUACCCUAGUAGUCC
rnacentral:rRNA from 1 species